rnacentral:rRNA from 1 species
GGAUUAGAUACCCUGGUAGUCCACGCCGUAAACGAUGUCUACUAGCCGUUGGGGUCCUUGAGACUUUAGUGGCGCAGCUAACGCACUAAGUAGACCGCCUGGGGAGUACGGCCGCAAGGUUAAAACUCAAAUGAAUUGACGGGGGCCCGCACAAGCGGUGGAGCAUGUGGUUUAAUUCGACGCAACGCGAAGAACCUUACCAAGCCUUGACAUCCUGCGAACUUUCUAGAGAUAGAUUGGUGCCUUCGGGAGCGCAGUGACAGGUGCUGCAUGGCCGUCGUCAGCUCGUGCUG